AUUGAACGCUGGCGGCAGGCCUAACACAUGCAAGUCGAACGGUAACAGGGAUCAGCUUGCUGAUUCGCUGACGAGUGGCGGACGGGUGAGUAAUGUCUGGGAAACUGCCUGAUGGAGGGGGAUAACUACUGGAAACGGUAGCUAAUACCGCAUAACGUCGCAAGACCAAAGAGGGGGACCUUCGGGCCUCUUGCCAUCGGAUGUGCCCAGAUGGGAUUAGCUAGUAGGUGGGGUAACGGCUCACCUAGGCGACGAUCCCUAGCUGGUCUGAGAGGAUGACCAGCCACACUGAAACUGAGACACGGUCCAGACUCCUACGGGAGGCAGCAGUGGGGAAUAUUGCACAAUGGGCGCAAGCCUGAUGCAGCCAUGCCGCGUGUAUGAAGAAGGCCUUCGGGUUGUAAAGUACUUUCAGCGGGGAGGAAGGGAGUAAAGUUAAUACCUUUGCUCAUUGACGUUACCCGCAGAAGAAACACCGGCUAACUCCGU
rnacentral:rRNA from 1 species